rnacentral:rRNA from 1 species
GUCCACACGGUAAACGAUGAAUACUCGCUGUUGGCGAUAUACUGUCAGCGGCCAAGCGAAAGCAUUAAGUAUUCCACCUGGGGAGUACGCCGGCAACGGUGAAACUCAAAGGAAUUGACGGGGGCCCGCACAAGCGGAGGAACAUGUGGUUUAAUUCGAUGAUACGCGAGGAACCUUACCCGGGCUUAAAUUGCACUGGACAGGCUCAGAGAUGGGCCCUUCUUCGGACCAGUGUGAAGGUGCUGCAUGGUUGUCGU